UUGGCCUGAUGCCCCUAUGGGCUCGGCCUGCCGCCGCCGCGGGGCCUCCGAUGCUGCGCGCCAGGCCGGGUUCCGGAAAGCGGGUGGCGCAGGCGGGGAGCGCGGUAGGGAGCGGCCCUGGCUGCGGGGUCGCGGCCGUGGAGAGGUGGUGCGGGGCGCAGGACCGCUGAAGAUCCCAGCUGGACUCUGCGCGCCCGAAACCAGCUCUGCCACCCUGAGGACGAAGCCUCCCACUGAAGCCUCCUGCACGUGAACUGGAGGAAGAGAAGUAUCAAUUCCAGGACCUCAGCCUUCCUGUCUACCUAAGGGCAGAGGUCAAGGAUAGAAACAGAAUCAAGAAACAUUUAGAACAUAGUCCCGGGCUUCUGGGCAUCUCGAGAUCUGCUCACAGGGCGCAUCCCUAACACUCAUCCCUGUACCCAGCAGCUUCUCUACCCUGCGUGCUAGACAUUGCAUACAGAAGAAAAGGACAAAGCAGACCUCCAGACGAACAGGAUCCAGAGUGACCAGAACCAGACCAGAAAUCCUAUGACGACAUCACAGGAGGGGCCAACGUUGGGCUUGAAGAUGAUGGAGACAUUUUCAGGGAAGACCUUCCUGAUCUGCAGAGGCUGUGACCUGAUCCACAGCUUUUGACCCUAUGAAGCAGACCUCGGGUUUCCCAUCAGAAAACAGUUGCUUUCUGAAACCGCCAUGCCUCUCUCUUUUUUUUUUUUUUUUUUUUUGGUUCUUUUUUUUCGGAGCUGGGGGACGAACCCAGGGGCUUGCGCUUCCUACCUACUACCUUUGAGAUCCUCUACAAAGCCUCCCCUGCAGCCAGAGAACCAGCUGCACAUUCAGCGGCCGUUGUGACAGAUGAAAAUGUCCUACUCCCACACCGUGGGCCUGUCCUGGUGUCAGCCUCUUCGUGCUCAGAAAGAAUGAGGCACCUUACAAGCUGCUGCCCGACGGGUGGGAUUUGAACAGCUCCAGUUAUGUAACGUGUCUAUCACUGAGAUGUGUACUGAGCAUCAACUUGAUGGGACUCAGACUCACUAAGGAAACAAGCCCCUGUCUGGAAACUUCUAGAUCGUGUUCACUAAAGUGGGAGGAGCCACCCUGUGUGUUGGCAGUACCAUCUCGUCAUGGUCUGGGGUCCUGGACCUAAUGAAACGGAGCAAGCAGGCUGAGGACCAGCAGUCACCACUCUCUGCUUCCUGACUGUGGAUGCCAUGGGACCAGCUGUCUCAUGUUCCUGCCGCCAUGCCUCCCCGCCAUGAUGGACUGUAUCCCCUCACACUGUGAGCCAAUGUGAACCCUUCCUUCUUUAAGGUGUUUUAGUCAGGUGUGUUAUAGCAGUGAGAUAACAACAAAUACACUGCAGACACGCACGUGCACGGUGUGCAGGGCUGGUGUGGACUACACACUCCCCACUUGUCUAGCUAAGCUCUCGGCAUCUCCUUCAGCCCCUUUUCUAGAAUGAUCCGCUUCUAUUCCUCUGCACCCUCCUUUGGCUCAUAAAAUAAAGUGCAGAUUCCAUCACUGGA
rnacentral:lncRNA from 1 species